rnacentral:rRNA from 1 species
GCGAAAAACCUUACCCACCUUUGACAUGUACGGAAGCCUUUAGAGAUAGAGGCGUGCUCGAAAGAGAGCCGUAACACAGGUGCUGCAUGGCUGUCGUCAGCUCGUGUCGUGAGAUGUUGGGUUAAGUCCCGCAACGAGCGCAACCCUUGUCAUUAGUUGCUACAUUCAGUUGGGCACUCUAAUGAGACUGCCGGUGACAAACCGGAGGAAGGUGGGGAUGACGUCAAGUCCUCAUGGCCCUUAUAGGUGGGGCUACACACGUCAUACAAUGGCUGGUACAAAGGGUUGCCAACCCGCGAGGGGGAGCUAAUCCCAUAAAACCAGUCGUAGUCCGGAUCGCAGUCUGCAACUCGACUGCGUGAAGUCGGAAUC